rnacentral:tRNA from 1 species
GAUAAGGUGGCUGAAAAUAGGUUAUAAAUUGUAAAUUUAUAUAUGAGUCGAACUCCUUUAUCA